AACGCGUAUGCAACCUACCUUUCACAGGGGGAUAGCCCAGAGAAAUUUGGAUUAAUACCCCAUGGUAUAUAGAGAUGGCAUCAUUUUUAUAUUAAAGUCACAACGGUGAAAGAUGGGCAUGCGUCCCAUUAGCUAGAUGGUAAGGUAACGGCUUACCAUGGCUACGAUGGGUAGGGGUCCUGAGAGGGAGAUCCCCCACACUGGUACUGAGACACGGACCAGACUCCUACGGGAGGCAGCAGUGAGGAAUAUUGGACAAUGGGCGCAAGCCUGAUCCAGCCAUGCCGCGUGCAGGAUGACGG
rnacentral:rRNA from 1 species